rnacentral:rRNA from 1 species
UACAGAGGGUGCGAACGUUGUUCGGAAUUACUGGGCAUAAAGAGCACGUAGGCGGCACCGCAAGUGUUGGGGUGAAAUCCCACGGCUUACCCGUGGAACUGCCUGGCAGACUGCGGUGCUAGAGGUUGGUAGGGGAGAGCGGAACUCUUGGUGGAGCGGUGAAAUGCGUAGAUAUCAAGAGGAACACCCGGUGGCGAAGGCGGCUCUCUGGAACAAUCCUGACGCUGAGGUGCGAAAGCUAGGGGAGCAAACGGG